rnacentral:lncRNA from 1 species
GUUCAGUAGAGUUAUUCUUUAUGAAAAUAUAUAUAGUAAUUGAAAGAAGCUUAAUAUUUGGCAUCUCUAAUUUUUAAAAAGUAGUAAACACAUAUUAUGCACCUCUUAUGUCUUCUUUUUCCUUAAACCUUUCUACCUACUGACUUUCUUUCUUUUCUUAAAGACAGAGCCUCACUCUGUCACCCAGGCUGGAGUGCUAGAGUGCAGUGGCAUGAUCAUAGCUCCCUGAAGCCUUGAGCUCCUGGUCCCAAGAGAUCCUCUUGCCUCAGUGACCUACAUCCAAAGUGAAAAGUUAUUCAGCCUCUGAAGAGAAGCAUUUUGUUUGGGGAUCUUCAAGUAUGCUUGUCAGCACCGAGAACUGGAAAAAAAUCUCUGAUUGUCCUGCAGCAAUGGCAUUAAAGGCUCCUCAUAACAUACAGAACCAGAAUUGUGCCAUAAUUUACUGAAAUUGAACAUUGCUCUGUGACUGCUAAUUUUCCAUCGAGAUGAUUCUGUCUCUAACCAAGAAAAGAAAAGUUUGUCUUCCUGACUGCUGACACUGCUGACCAAGCCCACCACCAGAUGCCUGGCUGCACACCCAGAGGGCAGCCGCUUCCCGUGGUCCUCUCGAAGAACUUCCCUUUUGCAAUGCAUGUUUAGCAAGUGGAUGAGUUUGUCUUUUCUGAUUUCUCUGCAAGCUCUGCAUUGCCCACCUGAACCAGUGCUUCAGAAGAACUAAUGGGAUCUCUGACCCUCCAACAUCCUCUUCCAGACUUUCACUUUCCUGGCUCCUUGCAGGGACAUGUAAUAAACG